ACAAACCGACACAAUGCUUGACUCAUAACCCAAAACUAGAAGAUGAAGAGAUUUUUCGAUAAAACAUCGCUAGAAACAAAGAAAUCUUGUCUCGAGACUAUCGAAGCUCACCAGUAAGACUCUUCUUCCCGCACAACAAUCUAUGAAGACGGGUUUAAACACUUUUUCUUUUUUGACGGGUUUAAACACUUAUGACAACAACAAGAGAGUAAGAGUAUCUCCAUCAAAGUUAUAAGCAAUAUCUUAAGAGUUGCCUAAGUUAAAAAAAUAAAUCAUAUUAAUGAAAGCAAACAAAUUUACCUUAGUGAUCGAUCCUUAUGUUAGAUGUUUCUAAUUUCCUAAGGAUCGAGUUUGUGUCGACACCUGAUUGGCUGGGGAGAAAAAUGUUUUUUUUUUUCUUUUUUCUUAGUCUCGUUUGCGUCUCUCUCUCUUUCCCAGUUUGCAAUUCAGAUAGAGAAUGGUUUGGAUUGGCUUCGAUUUCUCCGGUUUCUUCUUCUAUCAUCUUUGGUUCCGCUCUCAUCUCUCCCUUCUACAAUCACCACCGGUAAUAUCGUUCAUCAAGACGAUUCUGAACCACGUUGAUCGGAAACAGAGUUCCGAAACUGGAGGUCGGCGACGGAAAAAACAAAACUCUUAUCUAAAAAUCCCGCUGGUGUUUCGAAUUCGAAGGGUUUUUGUUCGGUAUUGUAGUUUUUGAUGGAAGAUAGUGUGGUUGAUGAUGUUAUAAAGAGGUUACUGGGAGCGAAAGAGGCUCCUAUCAAGAUUUGCGAAACUGAACAAGGAGUUGCACAAGCAAUUAUUCGAUCUGUACUGGACUUCAGAAGGGACUAUGGCCCAAGGUUUCUGACAACGCAAAAGACCUUAUCAGGAAAAUGCUUGAUCCUGACCAAAGACGUCGUCUUAUAAGAAUAUGAUCAGUCUUAGCACAUACUUCUUUCUGAAAGGAAUUUAUUUGACCUGCACAUUGUGCUAGAAGGUGACAAAAUCAUCUUGGAAACAGAUUGUGGAGGAUGCUUUGCUGGUAUGGGUUCUGAUGGGCAUUGCGGUUCUGUUUCUUUCCUCUGUUUUCGGUUGUGUUUAAGACUUCAAAUUCAUCAUGUCCAUAAACUAAUGAAGAUCUUUGAUGCUGCGGGAAAUUCAUUUAAGCUCUCUAUGA